rnacentral:rRNA from 1 species
CCUGACUGCUAUCGGAUUGAUACUAAGCCAUGCGAGUCAUUGUAGUAAUACAAGGCAGACGGCUCAGUAACGCGUAGUCAACCUAACCUAUGGACGGGAAUAACCUCGGGAAACUGAGUAUAAUGCCCGAUAGAACAUUAUGCCUGGAAUGGUUUAUGUUCCAAAUGAUUUAUCGCCGUAGGAUGGGACUGCGGCCUAUCAGUUUGUUGGUGAGGUAAUGGCCCACCAAGACUAUUACAGGUACGGGCUCUGAGAGGAGUGGCCCGGAGAUGGGUACUGAGACACGGACCCAGGCCCUAUGGGGCGCAGCAGGCGAGAAAACUUUGCAAUGUGCGAAAGCACGACAAGGUUAAUCCGAGUGGUUUCUGCUAAAGGAACCUUUUGUCAGUCCUAGAAACACUGGCGAAUAAGGGGUGGGCAAGUUCUGGUGUCAGCCGCCGCGGUAAAACCAGCACCUCAAGUGGUCAGGAUGAUUAUUGGGCCUAAAGCAUCCGUAGCCUGCUUUGUUAGUUUUCGGUUAAAUCCAUAUGCUCAACGUAUGGGCUGCCGGGAAUACUGCAAAGCUAGGGAGUGGGAGAGGUAGACGGUACUCGGUAGGAAGGGGUAAAAUCCUUUGAUCUAUUGAUGACCACCUGUGGCGAAGGCGGUCUACCAGAACACGUCCGACGGUGAGGGAUGAAAGCUGGGGGAGCAAACCGGAUUAGGUACCCGGGUAGUCCCAGCUGUAAACUAUGCAAACUCGGUGAUGCAUUGGCUUGAUGCCAAUGCAGUGCCGCAGGGAAGCCGUUAAGUUUGCCGCCUGGGAAGUACGUACGCAAGUAUGAAACUUAAAGGAAUUGGCGGGGGAGCACCACAAGGGGUGAAGCCUGCGGUUC